rnacentral:sRNA from 1 species
UCAUUUCAACGUUCCCUCUCGUCUCGUUCCUGUCUUCCGUGUCUCUAAACCUGUGAACGCUCCUAUUAUCACGUUCCCCUCUCGUUCUCUCUCGUUCUCUCUCGUUCCCUCUCAUCUCUAAUUUCUCGGCACUCCUCCCUCCAAACACUCCGGGAACACUCGCCCGUGCUUUCACCAGCUCCAGUGCACCACUUCUGUUUUUUUGAGUUUUCGCAUUUCCAAAACCCUAAUCACGAAUUCACAUUGAAACCACAUUGGGGUGGUGAAGAGGUCAAUGUUCGGUGGCGGAGGGGAGGAGGCGUUGGCGGCGCGGCUUGGCAUGGUGACGCCGUCGCUGAUGAACCCCGCAACGUCGUUGGUGAUAUCCGGGGAGGUGUCAGCGGCGGUGAGGGAGGAGAGGGGACCCGCGCAGCCGCAGUAGAGUCAGCAGGAGACGCGGGAGUUCAUAGCGAUACGGGCGGAGAUGGAGAGGGACUUCACUGCGUCCAAGCGGAACAAGACGCUCUGGGAAGUGGUGAGUUCGAAGAUGAGGGAGAGAGGGUUCAGGAGGAGCCCCGAACAGUACAAAUGCAAGUGGAAGAACCUCGUUAAUCGCUAUAGGAAGAUCAUUUUAUUCACCCGAUCUUGGAAGAAGACAACCUUUAGGUGAGGGAUUGGAGAGCUGGCGUGGUUUCUACCAGAGUAUUCGUCCAACUCAGAUGGGGUUGUCACUGAAUAUUGAUAUGUCCUCCACUGCUUUUAUUGAGCCACUGCCAGUUAUAGAUUUUGUUACCCAAUUGCUGAAAUGUUUCUGCUCGACCUGUGUCUGAUGCUGAUCGAGUGAAGGUUAGAUCUUGUAGUGUCCUUUUUGAUAUUGCCAUCUAUGAUGAAGAUUAUCUUUUGGUUUGAUUAAACUACCUACUAUUUGUUUAACACGAUAGUAAUGCACCACAGCCAUACAGAAAUAAAGAGAACAUGAGCAGCAGAGUGUUGGAAGCUUCAAAGCAAAGUGACAAAGGGAAGAGAAAAUCUGGACUUCCAGAGGCCCCAACUAAUCUGUUUGAUGAUAGCAAAUGAGGCUUAUCAACAUGCUUCACUUUUCAGUUUCCUGGGGGUUCUGAUCUCUUUCUCAUUGUAUUCUCUUUUGUUUUAAUCAGCUCAAUCAUGUUUGCAACAACUUUCAUUGUGUGGAAAGUUGGUGCAAUCCAUUUCAAUCAGUACUGAGAUGUCCUCUUUAAGAAUUCAACAUAAAUGUAGUUUAGAAAAGCUUCAGCUGCUUCAAACUUCAUCAACUCAUGCUGUUUCUUAAUCAUCAGUUUUUCAUUUCUUAGGUGCUCAGAUCUUUUUCUCAAGUUAAUUGUUUUAUAAGCUGGGAAACAUUUAAU